rnacentral:rRNA from 1 species
UACGUAGGUGGCAAGCGUUGUCCGGAUUUAUUGGGCGUAAAGGGCGCGUAGGCGGCCUUGUAAGUCAAAGGUGAAAUCCCUCGGCUCAACUGAGGAACUGCCUUUGAAACUGCAAGGCUUGAGGCCGGGAGGGGGUAGCGGAAUUCCCAAUGUAGCGGUGAAAUGCGUAGAUAUUGGGAGGAACACCAGUGGCGAAGGCGGCUACCUGGACCGGUUCUGACGCUGAGGCGCGAAAGCGUGGGUAGCAAACAGG